rnacentral:lncRNA from 1 species
UAGCAUUAAUUUUUAAUUUGAGCCAUUCAUUUAUAUUAAGAUUUUAGCCAUCGAAAUUCAUGAUCUAUAUUCAUCUUCAAUUUCUAACCCUAGAUGCCUCAUUUUUUCUCUUCAAACUUUAGAAGCUUGAGUUGGUUGCCGCUGCCAUUGCUCCUCCCCCUCGCUGUCAUCACUCCUUGCCACCAUUGCUCCUCUGUCGCUGUCGUCACUCCUUGUUUUUAUUGUUGUCAUCGUCGCUCAUCUGCCGCUCCUCUACCGUCCCUCUGUCAUCGCUUAUCUGUCAUCUCUCUGUCGUCGCACCUUCACCUAUGUUGCCGUCACUUAUCUGCCCGUGGUACCGUCGCUCCUCUCCGCCUGGUGCUUUGGUUGCUCUGUCUCCCGUUAUUACUUUAAGAAUUUCGGAAAAUAAAAAUUUGAACUUUUGAGAUUAUUUUCCUAUCAUGACAUGUUUGUGCAUUCAAUUUGGGUGAAAUUUAGUUUAAAUUUUCAGUUUCUAUUGUAAUUUAUGUAUAGUUUUGAGAAUUUAUUAAAUAUUAGUUGAAAUAUUUAAUGAGAGUUUGAAACUUUUAAAUGAAUUUCGGGC